GGCUCUCCCCGUGAGGGCACCGCCUGCAGGAGUGAGCAGUGGGGUCCGUGGGCAGCCCAGAUCUCUCCUAAGGAGGGAUCUCUUCCGUAGGGCAGGGAUGGAAGUAAGGCGCCUCUGAGGAAGGAGUCUGGGAAUGUGGCACCUCUCUUCUCCUCUCCCAUCCACCCAGCCUCCAUCCCACGACCUGCACUGUGAACAGCCACUAAACAGCUGGGGGAGAUGGGGAUUUUUGGAGCUGGAACACCAUCCCCCUGUCCCUUGGCUGACUCUGGCCAGGACCCACAUUUCGGGGGGACCCACCCUCUUGCAGCCUGCGGAGCCCUCACUCCCGUUGACAAGCAGGUUUGCUUUAUUUCAAGUCCACAAAGUGACGCGGGCUGCGUUAUUUGAGCUCGGGACCCUCCUUGGCCUGUUGGCCGCUGUUUCCCAGCGCUGCACCUCUUCCCAAGGAAGGGAACCAGCAGCUCUGCCUGCAACCUGCAGCUCCAGCACAGGCAGGCAGCUCAUGCGAGGUGGCCAGAAAUACCGUAUGCAUUACAUAGUAAUCUGGGGGUGGCAAAGAGGGGUACACAGGUCCGUGGGGCAAUGGCAGCAGCUGGUCCCAACUUGCACAAGGGUUGCAAUGGGGCUGCGACCCAGGAAAAAGCCCUUCCUUGGAGCCCCUCGGACCACGAACGGCAGGAGCAGCACGUCGCUGGAAGAGACUGGUUUGCUCCAGUAGCCUCUUUACAAGCACCAAGGGACAGCUGUUUGGGGACCGCUGGGUUUUUAAAAGGCCGCUUACGAGCUUUAACACUGCGCUGGGGGAGAGGGAAAGGAGAAGGGGGGUCAGGGAGGGGUGGUUGCAUUGACUGCUUAGGACUUAAAGCUGUAAACCUCUUCUUCCCUCUCUCAUUGCUGGGACAUUUUUAUUGGCGAGAUGAAGGGAGACAGAGCACAGCUCCACAACUUGCUCUUCUUCUAGAGGUUAAUGACCCAGUUAGCAGCUCUUGGCUGCAUUUCCCGACAUUUUGCAGACAUCAAGACCCGUCUCCCUGCCAAGUACAUUCUGUUCCCUGGAGCUCGGCCAAUGCAUCUCAGAUUACUAUGUAAUGCGACAAAGAGGGAGAGCUAGAGAGUACAUGAUGCUGCUCAGGCACACUGUGCUUGGCGAGUGUGGCUGCUCCAGAUCCUGACACUUUCACAGUAAAGGAAGGAAGGUCAGACCAUGGGGAAGACUCUCCUGGCUGUGAUUGAACUUGUGGCUUGCAGAGGGGCUGAGCUGCCAAACUCAGCUGGUGCCUGCCAUUGUUAGAAACCAACCUGAUCUCAUGCUCCACACUUGCCUUGGAGCCCUUCCCCAGUGACCAGUCUGGUGUUCUCUCCCGAGCCAUGCUGGGGUCUUCCCCUGUAGCUCUGAGGAGAUCCCGUGGCCAUAACAUGCACUACAAUGCCCUUGGCCCUUGUAAACCUUUCCUCACAGGCUUCAUGUGUCACGUUUCAGAUUAAAACCACAUUGUUUUCUAAUUGUUUCUUUGAACCAGAGACCCUCAUAUGUUGGCAGUGUUGAAAAUGAAGCUUGGGGUCCUGACCUGUGAGGAAGUCUUGCAAUCCCUCCUCUCCCAGGCUGGCAUCUCUGUUCCAGUAUCCCCAUGCUACUUAGCUGCAGUAUCUCCUACUAAUUCAGCUCUGGACAUUUUGAAACUUCAGAGUUCAGAGCUGCCUUACAGCCUUCCAGCCAGACCUGCAGACCCACCAUGCCCUGGGCUGCUGCCCCACUCUGAUGAUGUGCCACAAGCCUCUCUCCAUGCAGGACACAGUUUCUGGCACAUGGUCAUGCUGGUUCUCAGCCCAAAUCUUUGCCAGGUCUUCUUUCCCUCCCACCUUCCAUACUUGUGUCAGCUCCACAUUGGUGAGCAUGUUGCUCACAGACAUCCCAGCCAUGGGCACCUCUGCCUGAGCCUACACUGAUGUAGGAGCUCAUCCAGUCCCAUUCCUGCUGGGACAUAGCCAUGGUCCCAGUUCCAGCCCAUUCCCUCUGCUGUUCUGCCAUGUCUGCCUGCUCCCACGUUGUCUUUCUUGGUCCAGCCUGGCCUCUGGGGCACAGGGUGUGUGGGGUCUCCUCUCCUGGUGCUGGCCAAUGCCUGGCUGAGCCUCCUGGCACAGCCCUCGUGCAAGGAGAUGUGCUGGGAAAUGAGCCUUGAGGGUCACCUCUGACCAAGGGGUGUGUGCAGGCUCAGGAGCAGUGUGUGAAGGUGGGUGCUUUUUGCCUCCAAGCAAAGCAGGAGGCCUGGGGAGAGCUCAUGGAGGGGGCUGACACACACAAGGUGUCAGAGCCUGCUCACAGGACCUGAGAAACCCCACAGCCUGGCCCAUGCCAGCAGUGCUCCGAGCCCUGCUCUCCCUCCGUGGCCUGGCAGGCACAGUCUGCUGCCAGAGCUGAGAGAAAGGGCUGUUCCCCAGCAUUGCACCAGGCUGUGCACCAGGCAGAGGAUCUGCUCCUCCCUUCAGAGAUGGUUGGAUGAGGCCAGGCUUCCAAGCACCACCUCAGGGCUCCCACCCUGCUCCACAGCCCUCUUUGUGCCAUCCUUCAUGAUGCUGCCUUGUGAAAUGGGAAGAGAAGAAACACCAGAGGUCUGCCUCAAUGGGACUGCUUAUCUCCCUGGAGCAGAGCCCUCCCUCCUCUUCAAGGAAUUAUUUCCUUGAAAGACACAAACCAGCACAAAACUGCCUCUUGCUCAGCUCCAUCUGCCAUGUGGGGGCUGGGUGCCGGGAGGCCACUGUUGCUCACUGCAUUUGCCAGACAGACAUGGCUUUGGGAGGAUUUUUCACCAUGUGCAGUCUAAGAAAGAGAUGAGUUGGGUUUACCUGUACCAGGAGUUGCUCAGGAAAGUCCUGAAAAAAAAAAGGAAGAGUGUUUUUAUGGAGAAGAACUUCCUCAAAAACCACAGUGAAUGCCAGCAUCUAAAAAUCUGGCACUGUGUCACUUCACUGCUGAGCAUCUGUCCUCAAGGCCAGCCCCACAGACAGAAAGUCAUCAGGGGCCAAAGCAUCCUUUGAAACACAAGCCUUGGCUAACCACAAACAUGCAACCCUCCCGACUUCUAAGCCACAUGUCAGCCUCCUCCAAAGAAUGAGAAGGUUCAGACACAGUCCUGUGAUGUGGGACAGCUGGGAGGAGGGCACAGGUUGCAGGGAGGAAGGAACCCCUCCUCCCCAAGAGGAGCUGGGUAGAAGCAUACACCAAGUCUCAAUCUUCCAGCAAAGUCAUCCCAAUCCUCUUUGUGUGGCUCGUGCCCUUCCCUGGCAGCUGCCCAGUGUGGAGAUGGGCGCAUAUCACACACACUGUGCUUGAUGCUGCACAAACCCAGCCUGCAGUGAUGGUCUUGGCCCCACAUCCCUGAUAUUUGACUGCCCAGCAGAGCUGCUACAAGUCAACAGCUCCCAGCCAGCAGGGAGGGCACAGAUGUGCAAAUGGGGAAAAACCUGCCAGAGGCAUCUCAGCACCUGGUACAAUCCUAAGAAGACUCAGGUUGGGACAAUUAUGGUUUAAGUAGUUCUAUUACUAAUGCUAGAAGAAGCGUUUCAGCUCUUUAUCAGGGUAAGUAAUAGCAGGUAGGUGACUGCUAAGUUCACAUUGCGUUUUUUCCACCCUUCCCUUUCCCCACAGAGCUGUGCUGGAGUAGAAAUCAUGGCAGUAAACAAGCAUCAAGGCCAACACAUAUAAAAUGUGUUCCAUUCCUAUUUGUGGGGCAGGGUGAGCCAGGCAAGCACCAGCUGGGGCCUCCACGUGACUUGUAGUAGGAAAGUAGGGACAUGAGUAGGGAAGCUCAUCCCAAAAGCUGAGACUUUUUGUUGUUUCAGGAGACCAGCAAAGACCUCAUUUCUGUCUCAAUUAGAUCUUGAAUUUAUCAACUCACAGAAACCACGAGGCAGUUUUUGUGCAAUAACUACAGCCAGUCCAGGCUCAAUUCCUCACCUUUUAACAUCACCUCCAGAUUCACCCGCCUCAGGAAGAAGAAACCCAAGUUAAGCACAGCUCAUUAGUCCAGUGUGGGCAGGGCAGAAAAGACUGAACUUAAAGUGCAGUAAGGAGGAUUUAACUUUGGCCCAUCUCUAAAUGUUUUAAAUAACAAACACAGUUAAGCACCGAAAUCAUUGCCUAGGGGCGUCUGUGAGGUCUGUGUACUCAAAUGCUUUCAGGAACAGGACAAAGGCAAACAUCCGUCUGAGCUAGCUUGGGUCCAGCUAGCAGGCUAUGGAUCAGUUGAACUCUUGUCAUGUGUUGGCCUUUCCCAGCUCAAUUUCCAGAUGUGUUUGUUCAGCUCCUCUCUGUCACAUGCUGACCCCUCCCUGUGUGUUCACAGGAUGUGUGGCACACUGCUGAGCCUGGUGCUGAGCACGUUGGGCUGACUUGUGAAAUCAUAUUUUCCUUGAAAUUAGGAUGAGUUUUGAGAUAUACAUAAAUGUAUAGAAUAGCAGAGAAUAUUUAUUAGGGUUGAAAUUAACAUUGAUUGAUUUGAUUUUUGCUGAUUAGGUAAUUAUGAGAACUAAAGGGGUAAUCACCUUUUCAACGAGGAAAUGAAACAAUCAUCCAAGCUAGACAAGUCCUGAGUUUCUAAUUUGAGCAGGAAAAAAAAAAAAGCUACAGGUGAAGAGGAAAGAGCAGUAUCUAUACCCUGUUGCCUUUUGCUCUCAAAGCAGACAUGGGCUGGGACUUUUCCCACCAUGGCCAUCUCGGUUUUAUCCAUCCAUAUGUCUUGGGAGAUGGACUGAGGAGAGAUGCAAGGUUUAGCCUGGGGAAAGCAAUGCAAGGUGCAGAUUUUGGCUUAGUUCACCACACCCAGAGGAGGAAGGUGCCUUUCCUACCCCUCUCCACCUCACCAGAAGCAUGAACAUACCUGUCAAGUCACUGACAGCUGAACAUGAGCCUCACAGGAGCAAGUCCUGCCUCACUCCCCGCCCUAGACAGGUCUCUUGCACACCUCAGGGGCUCUGUCCCCAAGGCUGCACCCCAGACUGGCUCACUGGAUGUUUGGGGUAUCUCCAGGCCUCAUGUCUGGUGAUCUGGGAUUUCUUCCCCAGUCAGCAACAGGGAAAAAGGCCACCAAGGGCAGACCUUGGCCUCACACUCUGUGCCCACAAUUGCCACCCCUCGUUGCUUUGUGUAGGGCUUGGACACCCAUACAAGUGCUGUGAUCCCUUGCCCCUGUUCCCACCUGUGUCAUAAUGGAAGCCAGGAUGAAGGGACACUGGAAAGCCAGCUACCAUCAGUCCCUUAAAAACAAAAAAACCAAAGGCCUUUUCUCAGCUGCAGUGGCAUGAACAGAGCUUAGUCCCCCUGGCCACUCCAGGAUGUGGCUGAGAUAUAUCAGGGAAGAGCAGCUGUCAGCAUGGAUGUGCCUAAAAUUAGCUCAAAGAGAAGGUUUCCUCCAUUUAUUUAUUUAUUUGCUCCUUAAAAGGUCCCUUCUUAUUAGAUGCAAAUUCAGCACAAAGCUUCAAGCCAGUACAAAGGCACUGCUAAUAAUUUUCAAUUACACUGAGGGGAAGGUCACAGCACUUUGCUUUUGAAUUUCUGCUUGGGAUAGAAGCUGUGGCUAAGGGAGCACUCUUUGGAGAUUUGGCUAAAGGAAUGUAUUUGGAAGAGCUGUACCAUGUGGUGCAGCUGGUGAGCUGGUAUGCUGGAGACCCUUGUGUCACUUUUUUGAGGUUUUAGGUGCUCCAGGAAAAAAUCAUAGAGAAUGGGUCUCUAACCUUAAUUUAUUUCCUUUCAGAUAUACACACACUCCCUUCCAAGGAGUUUUUUAUUAUACAUUAUGGCAUCUGCUUUCAUCUGUUUGCCAGCUUAUGCUUACCAUCCAUCUUUCCCAUCCUCUGAUAAUUCCAGGACUCCCUCAUCAAUUUCACUCCCUCAGACUGUAGGGGAAGAAAGGGAGUGGAAAAAUCUUAGAGAUACUAGAUUCCAGCAAGUGUUUUGUCAAAGAAAAUUACCUCAAUAAGGCCUUUUGUAAGCAAAAUACUAGAGAAAGAAUUUCCUCCUUCUUGGAAAAGAAUCCACAUAUGGCAUAGAUCCAUAGGAAAGGAGGCUUGAUCACUUCUGCUGCUCAAGGGACCAUCUGUUAAUUAUAGAGCUUACAGAACUUAAUCUCAUCACCUCUGGCUCAUGACCCAGAGACUGAACUGGGAAUACCUAUACAGACAUUUAGAAGAACUGAAAAAUAAUAAAAAAGAACUCUAGGGAAAAAUCAACCCCAAAUUUCCUUUAGUGUACCUAGUCCAUCCCACACAUCUCAGAAAAAUACCUUAAUAUUUCUUUGUGCAUACUCCUGGAUGGGCUUUGGGGGAUACAAAUGUGCUUUCAAACUCCUCCUGACACCUUGCUCUGCAGUGACCCACAGACAUGCAGGAGCUGAGUACUGAGGUUGCUGCCUUUGUGCAGGGUUGCUGCUCUCCCAGCAGCUUCUUCCCUUUCAUUUCCUACUCUGCUUACAUAUUUUUUGAGGUGAGGAAUUGCUGUCACCAUUGCAGGGAGGUGCUGGGCCAGCCUGGGGCAGGGGGCUGCUCCUGCAGCGUGGAGAGGUGAUGAAUGAAGUGAGCAGUGAGUGGCAGCACACCCGGAUCACCCCUGCACACAGUCAUGCUGUAAUGCAACAUCUCUGGUGUAGCCUGGUCAAGUCAUGCCACAAUCUUUGUCUCCUGACUCUGAAAACAUUUGGACCCAAGUUUGUGAUUUGUCCAAGCAGGGGACACCAUGCACUACAACUCUGUGCUACCAGAGCAUAAUUCAUAGGUGGGCUGAAGCACUGGCUCUGAGCUGGCCAUUCCAUCUACAGCCAAUCUCCAUCCAAUCUCCAUAUUCAACGUCCAGGAGCAGAGUUUCCAGGCUGCAACUUCAGUUUUUUUCUGAUCCACCAAGUCAAUUGGAUGCACAUGCAAGCUGGAUCCUGAGAUUUUAUGGCUUUUUAAUGAGAAGGUGAGAACUAUUUACACUUUGCAUAAGCUCUUCCCUAGAGACAGCAGUCCUGUUCAGAGUUAAAGGCCUGCUAGAUCUACCUGCUUACCAUAACUUUAUCCUCUUGUCCAAGAAAGUACAUCAGAGAGCAGAAAGUCAAGCAUCUCAGAGUACAUCUGGUUUAAAAGACCAGCCCCCCUGCCUCAUAUCGCUCAUCCGUCUGCUCUGAUGGCAUCAAUGUUGCUCUGCACAGCACUGCAAGUACUGCUGAUUGCAGAGCAGCAGCAGGAAGAUGGGAAUCAUUAAAGCAACUCAGCCAAAGCCCUGUAAUUAAUUAGUUAGAAAAGCAUCUUGGCGUUAUUAGAGAGGCCUCAGCAGAGGAAGCGACACCUCUGUUCGAACAGAUUCACCUUCCGCCAGAGCUGCUGCUGUGAUGUUUGACAUUGUGCUGGUGUAAACAGAAAUUAGAAGUCAGUGUGACAGGGAGAGGAGCCACUGGCAGGCAGUGCCCUUGGCCAGGACUGUGCUGUGUGCCAGGAGGUUUCCUUGCUUUGCUGGCAGGCAGAAAUCAGAUCCUGGAAAAAGCUCAGGUAGGGAUGAUUGCUGCUCAACCAGGAGGACCCUGAUUUCUGCUGUGAUUAAAAGCAAACCCAGAUUUCCCAGGGUACUGAACAUGAAGCUUGUUAUCCAGGUGUUUGUGAUUAUAAACACAAACUAAAUGUACACAGAAAUGCCACCCAAGACUCCAGGAACUGGUGUCUCCUGGGAUCUAGACACAUGCAGGAUGCAUGUCCCUGGCAAACAUGCACAGUUUGGCUGCAUGGAGAACUGGGCCAUGCUCAGAACUGCAUAUUCAUGGCAUGCAAAUGUUAUGCUAUUGCAAACUCCCACAGCUGUCAUCAGCACACAGCACCAUGGCCGUGAGCCCCAGAGAUGGAGUAAUAUCCUAUGGGGAGCAGCAGGAGGCUGCAAGAUCUAUGUGUUGCUGAAAAUAAGAGCAUCAAAAGGAAAAUGGAAACAUAAGACCAAAAUAGUCAGGACUGGUUUAAGGAGUCUUAGUUUCCUCUGGGGCAGGAGGCCAGGCAGUGUGGCUGGUCCACGGGGCGAGGAGGAGGUGGCAGGAGGCCUGGCUCUCCCCCUGUCCUGCCGUCAUACUUUGGCAAUUCUUUUUUUUUUUACCAUAGGCUAAUUUUGCCCUUUCCCCACUUGGUACUGUCAGCCUCUAGGAAUUCUUAAGUCUUGAUUUGGGCCUCCAAACACCAUGAUUUUGGCUUAAAUAUCCAGAGCACAUACGUAUGAAUUACGUGACUUUUUGAGUGGCCUUGUGGUUUCUGACUCUUUACAGACCAUAUUUCCAACCGAGCAGGUCAGAUUUUUUUUUUAUUAUGAUUAUUAUUAUUUUAAAUGAAAGCCAAGAAUUUCACAUAAACACAGGGCUCUGGCAGCUUGAACUGGUAGCAUUGCCUGCUCUUCAUGUGUUCUGCCUGCUUAGACAGGGAGCAUCUGAGGCAUGGGCUGUCACUGGCCAUGUCUGCAGAGCAUCAAGCAAAACCUCCCCAGUCUCAGCUGGCUUCCUGAACUUCCCCAGGGCAACUGAGAAAAAACAGCCAUUCCCCAGAUGUUUCCAGUGAGGGCAGUAGUUGGGAUAACUUUUGAGUUUGGCCUGCAUUAGAGCACAGGUAAGCAACAGACUGGAAGUGACCAAGGAAUGGGCUCUCGAAGAAGAUUUUUGGUGCAUCCUAUUUUGGCCCUGCUGUUGCAGCCUUGCCAAGGUGCUUUAAGUGCUCUUCAAAGCAGCAGAAAGACUAAGCUGUGAGAACUUGUCCAUGCAUGCAUUUGCUGGUCGCUGUGCUGAGUUUCAGAUGAGGUCCUGGGCAUACUCUAGGCAGAAGUUUGAGAGGAAGAUUGUGCGUAAUUGAACUGCCUUGCUCAUCCCAUGAUGAGCAAAAAACUCCAAUUCCCCAUGUUUUACCUUGCAGAUGUGUGGAUCCACCAUGGGAAGCUCCCUGUCUGUACAGCUGUCACCAGCUCUGUGAUAACAAGAAUCAUGGCUUUGGCUCUCAGCUCUGAAGCUCAUCUCUUCACAUUCUGAAGUGAAGAUGUUCUCUGAAUAAAUGAAGAAACUGAGAUCCUCAAAUGAAUGACAGAUUCUUCCUUAGGUCAGCUUUGCAGAGAAAGCAAAUAUUUCAGGAGAGUAUGGUUACUGCUCAUAGCUCUCUGGAGCCAGCCUGCUGACUCCUCUGCGGUGGCUGUAAAUCUGGUGGUGGUUCAGCUGAAGGACCUCACAGAUGCUAUUUCAGGCUGAUAUAAUGUACCAUAAAUGGGAUUGAAAGCACCCAUCUAUAGCAGACAAAGCCUUUCUGGUUCAUUCAAACACUGAGGAAACCGACCAUUGUAUAUAUGCACUGUUGGGAUUCAUCCAAAAGUGAGUGGUAGCCAAAAGAAUUUACACGUUCCCUGGCUGGGGAACAUGUUGAUUUCAGAAGGCAGCAAAGGUAACACAAGGAUACAGGGAGACUCCCUUGCCUGGCAUUUAGUAUUUGAAUUUCAUCCUUUGACUCACCAUGAAAGGGAAGAGUCCCAGAAGGACAGAAGAGCCCCCAUCACAAACGAUAUUCCUCAUUUAGAGGCAACAAGGUCUCCAUGGGAUGGCAAGAAAACAGAACUUGCUCUUGGGGUCUCUGGCUGAAUUUUGGGGAGUGCCUAUCUACCUGAAAUGAUACAUCAAUAAACAUAAUAUCACAAUCA